AUUGAACGCUGGCGGCAUGCCUAACACAUGCAAGUCGAACGGGGCAGCAAUGCCUAGUGGCGGACGGGUGAGGAACACGCAGGAAACUGCCCUUAAGUGGGGGAUAACCAGGGGAAACCCUGACUAAUACCGCAUGAUCUUUUCGGAGCAAAGAGGGGGACCGCAAGGCCUCUCGCUUCUGGAUGAGCCUACGUCUGAUUAGCUAGUUGGUAGGGUAAAGGCCUACCAAGGCGACAAUCAGUAACUGGUCUGAGAGGAUGAUCAGUCACACCGGAACUGAGACACGGCCCAAACUCCUACGGUAGGCAGCAGUGGGGAAUCUUGCGCAAUGGGCGAAAGCCUGACGCAGCCAUGCCGCGUGAAUGAUGAAGGUCUUAGGAUUGUAAAAUUCUUUCACCGGGGACGAUAAUGACGGUACCCGGAGAAGAAGCCCCGGCUAACUCCGUGCCAGCAGCCGCAGUAACAC
rnacentral:rRNA from 1 species